GUUGGGUCUUGCGAAAGAAAACUCUGAAAAUGCCAUUUCAGACCAUCUAGAGACUCCAGAUUUUCGAAAUUUUCUCAAAUGUUCUGCCUUCAUUUCCGCGCAACUACCAUUUACGACGAAAAUUCCCGCCGCGCAUUUAUAAUACUACAGUCUGGCCCAUACUUUCCUGUAAAUUUCGACAUACUAUAACGCUGUUUUCUGACUAUCAGAAUUCUGUUAAAUCUUCCCCCAAAGUCCAGGAAAUGGCAUUUUAGAGACUCUAAAUUUAAAAAUUUGCUCGGGCCUUCGGCCCUCGCUUUCAGCCCCCCCAAUCGAAAAGAGCUUCCUACGGCCCUGAUGUCUAA